GCGUUUUGUUUGAGACUGACUUUAUCAGGAUUAAAUCCAAUCUUGACAAACUAAAAUAUCUUCUGCUGAAAAAUCUCCGUCCAUAUUUAUAUUUUAGUUUAUAUUUUAGAGAACUCAGGCAGCAGGUCAGUGAGACAUGAUUUAAAUUAUUAUCUGACACUUACCUAAACUGAUUUUUCCUCUUUUCACCUUUGACUGCCAUCAAAUCUCAAAGACGGUCUGUGGUUGAGAAAAGGACAAAAUCCACAGGUCUGCCAGCCUGACAAGAAGAAGAAACCCCCCCAAACUCAGAACAGCACAAAAACCACAGCUGGGAAAGUAGCACCAAAUCCUCAGAGCACAAACCAGAAAAAAAGGAAGACUGAUGCUGAUGGACCACUGAAGCCCAAACUGAUGAUGACAGAGAAGCAAAGUUUAUUCCUGAAAACACCUGGACUCCACAGUUUGUGAGGUUAAAACUGUUCCUGUCCAGGACGCCAGGAUUACGAUCACAAGAAUCUUAAAGUCCAACACGAUUAACACUCACCUGGAGGCAGAUUUCAACCAGAAGCUGCAGACGUUCUUUAUGACGUCUCGACGUCUAACAGAAGCAUUCGGCAUCAAAUCGGAGGAUGACUUUAAACAGAGGCUGCCGCUGUCAGUAGAAGUAAAAAUACAAGGAAAUAAAAUUACAGAGAUUAAGAAGAUCUACAGUUACGUGUAUUUCAGUAGAAAAGGAACAUGACUUACAUCGAGCACUGCGGCUGAUCACAGGAGAGGUCAGAGUGUGUGGUGUCCACUAACCUUUGGUUGUUUUAUUCUGUAUUUUUAGGGAGGUGUUUUUAUUUGAAGUGCUGGUUUUUAUUGUGUCUACUUUUCCUCUUCUUUAAGGUAAUAAUAAAGAGCCACUGAUGGCAGCUAACCCAC